AGAGUUUGAUCAUGGCUCAGGACGAACACUGGCGGCGUGCCUAAUACAUGCAAGUGGAACGCUUCUUUCUCACCGAAGCUUGCUUCAUCGAGAAGGAAGAGUCGCGAACGGGUGAGUAACGCGUAGGUAACCUGCCUCAUAGCGGGGGAUAACUAUUGGAAACGAUAGCUAAUACCGCAUAACUGUAUUUACCGCAUGGUAGAUGCUUGAAAGGAGCAAUUGCUUCACUAUGAGAUGGACCUGCGUUGUAUUAGCUAGUUGGUGGGGUAACGGCUCACCAAGGCCACGAUACAUAGCCGACCUGAGAGGGUGAUCGGCCACACUGGGACUGAGACACGGCCCAGACUCCUACGGGAGGCAGCAGUAGGAAAUCUUCGGCAAUGGGGGGAACCCUGACCGAGCAACGCCGCGUGAGUGAAGAAGGUUUUCGGAUCGUAAAGCUCUGUUGUAAGAGAAGAACGUUGAUGUGAGUGGAAAGUACAUCAAGUGACGGUACCUUACCAGAAAGGGACGGCUAACUACGUGCCAGCAGCCGCGGUAAUACGUAGGUCCCGAGCGUUGUCCGGAUUUAUUGGGCGUAAAGCGAGCGCAGGCGGUUUGAUAAGUCUGAAGUAAAAGGCUGUGGCUUAACCAUAGUACGCUUUGGAAACUGUCAAACUUGAGUGCAGAAGGGGAGAGUGGAAUUCCAUGUGUAGCGGUGAAAUGCGUAGAUAUAUGGAGGAACACCGGUGGCGAAAGCGGCUCUCUGGUCUGUAACUGACGCUGAGGCUCGAAAGCGUGGGGAGCGAACAGGAUUAGAUACCCUGGUAGUCCACGCCGUAAACGAUGAGUGCUAGGUGUUGGGUCCUUUCCGGGACUCAGUGCCGCAGCUAACGCAUUAAGCACUCCGCCUGGGGA
rnacentral:rRNA from 1 species